UCGGACGUGGUGCACGGUGCACGCCUGUCGUAAUCUACGUGUAUUUUUCAUAGUCUAGAUGACAGGAAGCUCGGGUUCGAUUCCCGGCGUUGGAA